UACGUAGGGGGCAAGCGUUGUCCGGAUUUAUUGGGCGUAAAGAGCGUGUAGGCGGCUUUGCAAGUCCGUUGUGAAAACUCGAGGCUCAACCUCGAGACGCCGGUGGAAACUGCAAAGCUAGAGUCCGGAAGAGGAGAGUGGAAUUCCUGGUGUAGCGGUGAAAUGCGCAGAUAUCAGGAAGAACACCCGUGGCGAAGGCGGCUCUCUGGGACGGUACUGACGCCGAGACGCGAAAGCGUGGGGAGCGAACAGG
rnacentral:rRNA from 1 species